UGCGAUCAAUGAUGAAUAAAAUCGUCCAUAUUUAAUGAUAAUCCCAUGAUUAUUAAUCUCUAGAUCACCAUCUUUCGGCUGAGAUUGCA
rfam:Brassica rapa chromosome A9, whole genome shotgun sequence.